rnacentral:rRNA from 1 species
AUUGAACGCUGGCGGAAUGCUUUACACAUGCAAGUCGAACGGCAGCACGGACUUCGGUCUGGUGGCGAGUGGCGAACGGGUGAGUAAUGUAUCGGAACGUGCCCAGUCGUGGGGGAUAACGUAGUGAAAAUUACGCUAAUACCGCAUACGAUCUAUGGAUGAAAGCGGGGGAUCGCAAGACCUCGCGCGAUUGGAGCGGCCGAUAUCAGAUUAGGUAGUUGGUGGGGUAAAGGCCCACCAAGCCAACGAUCUGUAGCUGGUCUGAGAGGACGACAGCCACACUGGAACUGAGACACGGUCCAGACUCCUACGGGAGGCAGCGGUGGGGAAUUUUGGACAAUGGGCGAAAGCCUGAUCCAGCCAUUCCGCGUGCAGGAUGAAGGCCCUCGGGUUGUAAACUGCUUUUGUACAGAACGAAAAGGUUUCUACUAAUACUAGGAGCUCAUGACGGUACUGUAAGAAUAAGCACCGGCUAACUACGUGCCAGCAGCCGCGGUAA